GCACUUGUUUUAAGAUACAUACAUACAUACAAGGGAUAGGAUAAAUACAUACAUACAUACAUACAUACAGCUCUUUGUUUGCAUAGGAAUCAUACAAACAUACUCACAUACAAAAACACACACACAAGAUACAUACAUCCUUACAUAUAUACAUACACACAUAGCUCAAGGGACAGUAUGGAGAAAUACCUACAUACAUACAUAACUUUUUUUACAUAAGAAGCAUACACACAUGGAUACUUACAUACACAUAUAAGAUUCAUACAUACAUACACACAUACCUCAAGGGAUAGGAUGAAGACAGGAAACUCAUAUACAUACAUACAUACAUACUCACAGGUUGAAGUCAUGGACAAAAUAGAGUGCCAUAGUGCCAGUGCUUAAUAAUUCUGUGUAAAUAACACGACUUUGGAGAGGAAAUAAUGAGUGACACCGUGAAUGAAAAUGAAAAAUGAUGGUGUGUGUGUGUGUGUGUGUGUGUGUGUAUUUACCUAGUUGUGAAAUACAGGAAAAGAGCUGUACUAGGGUCAUGCUGUCCCGUCUCCAUAACGCUUAUUAUCCAGUUUGGCUUUAAAUUCAUGAAUCGUUUUUGCACACACAGUCUCCUUGUCAAGUCCGUUCCAUGUUGUUAUGCUUCUGUAUGGAAAACUGUAUUUCUUGAUGUCUCUCCUACAGUCGCUCUUCUUCAAUUUCUUACCAUUGCCUCUUGUCACACUUCUGUCACAUUCCACUAGGUCUUCCCUGUCCAAUUUCUCCAAUCCCUCUUGUAUCCUGUGCUAUUAGGUCCCCUCUCUCUCUUCUGCUCCCCAGUGUUGUUAGUCCCAAUUUCUCCAGUCUCUCUUCAUAAGUAUGUGUGUGUGUGUGUGUGUGUGUGUGUGUGUGUGCAGGUUAUCAAAAUCCCAGUUCAACAUUAUCAAAAAUUAUCCAAACUUCCAUUAUAAAUAACUAUAAAUAACACUAAACAAAUACAUUGACAAGUAAAUGAAUAAAAUAUGAUGAUGAAAAUAUAAAGAUGAUGAUAAUGACAAUAGUAAAUAUAUGAUUAUUGAACCCAGUAACUUGCUCAAGCCACGAGCUCUGUGGGCGUCCCCUCGGCCUCUUCCACUCAGGGUUGUCUCGCACAGAAGCAAUACAGUGGGCAGGGUCAGAAAGGCAGUGAACCAAAUGUCUGUAUAUGCGGUGUUGACAUUGACGGACUAUGCAGGUAAUAGGCCUUGAAUGAGUCAAGUAAUUGCUGGUUUAACACGCUUCAUUCCAGCAAUAUCCCAUGAUUUUGCGUAUACAUUAAUUACCAAAGGCAUCAAUCCGCCUCUCCAAGCCCCCAUUUAGUGUCGAUGUCUCACAGCCAUAGAGUAAGACAGGGAGCACACAUGACUUGAAAAUCUGAAUCUUUGUCCUUCCACACAGGUGUCGACAAUGCCAUAUACUCAUGCUGAGCGAGUCCAGAACACCACGGGCCAGGCCAUUCCACUGUAAGACUUCCUGGUGGUACCUGCCGUUGUUCUGAACUACGUUACCAAGGCAUGUGAAACUUUCCAAGACCAUAAAGUCCUCGCCCCACUUAUGACCAGACUGUACUGCUUCAUCCAGCAAACCUCCAAACACCCCUACACACACACACACACACACACACACACAUAUAUAGUACUAAAUAAACAGGAAUGAUCACACACAUUUCUCACCUAUUAUGAAGACAGAACAGAGGAUGGCAAGAAGUUUGGAGUACACCAGGUAUUUGUUAUAUGCGAGGGGUACGUUCUGCAAAAAGCUCGCAUAAUGUGAAUUCGCAUAUCUCGAACCUAUCAUCCCAUUAAUUAUAGAGGGUUAUGUUCCACAGCGUCCCGUUAAACCCAUAUAUCAGUAAGGAUUUAUCGCAACGGAAAAAGCCAUAAGCAUUUUUUGUUUAGAAUUGCCUCCAAAACUUUGGGCUCCAUGACAUUUUUCGUAUCUGUGAAGGAAAUGCAUUUUUGUCUCAGUAGAGGGAGAUGGGAAUGAGUCUUACGUCUGGCAGCAAAAAUGCGGCUGUCCGCAUACCGACGCGGAAUACGAGUAUCAAACAUGAAUAGACAUGUAAAAUUCUGGAAUCUCGAACGUUCAGUUAAAAUGUACAUGGUUUUUCUACUAUAUCACGUACUGUAUAUUCAUAUGUAUUUUGAAUCUUACUGAAGGGAAAUGAGGACAUGGAUAUUAUACUCAAAGUUAUAUGUACCCCAUUCAGGGUAGAGCUUUUCCGAGUCUGACAGCCCAGAACUGCUGAUUGCUUCUGGGAAGACACACCCAAAGUCUACGAUUUAAGCUGAUAAUUAGCUACCUGAGGAUUAAUUUUAGGAUCAUAGUGAGGAAAAGGUAAAUUAUAGGCGAGGAAAGUGCAGGAAAACAUUUGCACCCGCUGCCCUCUAGUGCGAGUCAGCCACCAUACCCCACCAACCAGUCGCACCAGUGUCGCUUCUCGCAUAAUAGCCAAUUUUUCUCGCAUAAAACGAAUACUUGGCACAUUUAGGUUAGUCGCAUAUGAGCGAAUUCGCAUAUUUCGAACUCGCAUAUAUCGAAUACCCGGUGUGCAGGAAAAUCAACGCUAAGUGUCAAAGAGGCUGCUGAAGGGUACCAUCUCGUCCCACCCCAUCACACAGCAGUUGAUAGGAGAGAAAAAGGUGCAAUGAAUCACACUGCACUACUCUGGCAAAGGAUGAAAGGGACUCCAACCCACCCCUUACACACCCACACCUCACACACACACACGCACACACACAAGCAGCAUUCCUUCAGUUGUGAGCUAAAUUAAUAAUAAAAAAUAUAUAUAUAUAACUUGAAAGUACUCUGAAUUUUCGUGGCAAUAAUUACAACCUUUUAUGCCCUAACCAUUAUGCUGUUCAACCUUCCAACUGUCACUCACACACACACACACACACACACACACACAGACAUUGAGCAAUACAACACUAGUGAUCUUCUUAGCGAGACAAACAAACAAUUAUUAGGAGCCUUUCUUUGAUAUGCUGUGAACCCUCUCCAUACAUCAUUAUCACACUCGUUGUCUAGGACUGACCAGUGUAAAAAAAGAGGUUGAACUUGCCAGAGAACCAGAAAGUAUUGUGGGUGAAGGGUAUUGGAAGGGAAGGGAGGGGAGCAGGUCUUAGGGGAACAGCUGUGUGGUAGUGGCUGUUGUUAUUCAUAGACUCAGUUAGUUAGACACAUAUUGCAAGAUUAAAGAAAAAGUUGAAAAUGCCAGAAAAUCAGAAACUAUUGUAAGUGAAGGGUAGAGGAAGGGAAGGGAGGGGAGCAGGUCUUAGGGGAACAGCUGUGUGGUAGUUGUUAUUCAUAGUCAGUCAGCUAGACACAGUUUGAGGGUUUAACAAUAUGAGUGGAAUAAUAAUAAUAUAGAACAAGGGAGGGAGGGACAGAGUAGGGUUGGCAGGGAAGGAUAUAAAAGGUGUAAUGUGUGUGUGUGUGUGUGUGUGUGUGUGUGUGUGUGUGGUGAUGAAUGCCCUACUGUCCUGUGCUGCUGUCAAGAAUCAAACACACAGCUAUGAAGUAGAAAAUAAUAAUAAUAAUAAUAAUAAUAAUAAUAAUAAUAAUAAUAAUAAUAAUAAUAAUAAUAAUAAUAAUAAUAAUAAUAAUAAUAAUAAU